UUAUACGCCCGUUUACGGGACGUAUUAUGGUAUACCGUUGUCCGUCUGUCCGUCCGUCGUCAACAUGUCGGACAUUAACUCAAAAACACUUUAACCAAUUUGCAUAAAACUUUGGUGAAUUGUUUAUAUCUAUUGACGUGAGCUCCCUUUCGUUUUUAUACGACCGCAAAAAAAUUUUGUGGUCGUAUAUUGGUAUGACGUUGGCGUCGUCGUCGUCGUCGUCGUCGUCCAGCGUCGUCGUCCGGCGUCGUCGUCCGAAUACAUAUUGGUUUUCGCACUCUAACUUUAGUUUAAGUGAAUGGAUCUUUUUGAAAUUUGACCAUAAGGUUAAAUACCACAAAAGGAAGGUUGGGAUUGAUUUUGGGGGUUAUGGUACCAACAGUUAAGGAAUUAGGGGCCAAAAAGGGGCCAAAAAUGAGCAUUUUCUAGUUUCCAGACAAUAACUGUGGAACGGUGUAUGGAUCUCUCUGAAAUUAUACUACAAGUUUCCAUACCACAAAGGGAUGGUUAGGAUUUGCUUUGGGGGGUUAUGGCUCAAACCGUUUAGGAAUUAGGGGCAAAAAAGGGGGAAAAACAAGGUUGUCCUGGUUAAUGGACAAAUACUUUAGUACAAAACAUAAUUUAAAGCAGUGUAAGGGAGAUAAAUCAAAUACAUCAUUGAAAUUAUCUCCCUUACACUGCUUUUAAAUUGUGUAUAAAGUAAUGGUUAAUGAACAAUAAAGAUAAUCUAAAACAGUGUAAGGGAGGUAAUCCAAAUACAACGUUUUGGUUACUUCCCUUACACUGCUUUUAAAUUAUGUUUAAAGAAAUGCAUAUUUAUAAAGGAAGACCAGUAAAAAUAUCUGCAAAUGUUUUCAUCUUUUUUUUUUACAAAAAAAUCCAUAUGAAAGAUUUGACACUAUAUUUUUAUUAAUUCUAUUAUAAAAUAGAUUAAGUUAGCACUAUGGUAAAUUUAAAUGGGUAAUUAUGGUUGCCAACUCCAUUGGAAAUUUGAAUUGAGAUUAUGACCAUAUCUUGAGGGAAAGAAUUUUUUUGGGGGAAAAAGGGGGGGGGGGAUAAAAAGAAAUUGUGGGGGGCCAAUUUUUUCUCAUUUCAGAUUUCAGAAAUUAAAAAGAAUUAUUCUUCAAAUAUUAUUUUUUUUUCAAAUUUCAAAUAUUGAAAAAUUUCAAGAAGUAAUCUUUAAUUGCACAGUAUGGCGCAUUAGAUUUGUAAAAUCUUUGAUCACAUUUAUUUAUUUGUUAUGCCGAAUCUAACAGUGUAUUUAGAUUUUUAAUUUUGGGUCCAGUUUUCAAAUUGGUCUACAUUAAUGUCCAAAGGGUCCAAAAUUAAACUUUGUUUGAUUUUAGCAAAAAUUGAAUAUAUGAGGUUCUUUGAUAUGCUGAAUCUAAACAUGUAUUUAGAUUUUUGAUUUUUGGCCCAGUUUUCAAGUUGGUCCAAAUUGGGGUCCAAAAUUAAACUUUGUUUGAUUUCAACAAAAAUUGAAUAUAUGGGGUUCUUUGAUAUGCUGAAUCUAACCAUGUAUUUAGAUUUUUUAUUUGUGGACCCCGUUAUCUAAUUGGUUCAUAUUGAGGUCAAAAGGGUCCAAAAUUAAACUUUGUUUGAUUUCAUCUAAAAUUGAAUUAUUGGGGUUCUUUGAUAUUCCAAAUCUAACCGUGUAUUUAGGUUUUUAAUUUUGGGUCCUGUUUUUUAAAUUGGUCUACAUUGAGGUCCAAAGGGUCCAAAAUUAAACUUAGUUUGAUUUUAACAAAAAUUGAAUUCUUGGGGUUCUAUGAUUUGUUGAAUCUAAACAUGUGUUUAGAUUUUUGAUUAUGGGCCCAGUUUUCAAGUUGGUCCAAGAUGGGGUCCAGUAUUUAAACUUUGUUUGAUUUCAACAAAAAUUGAAUAUAUGGGGUUCUUUGAUAUGCUGAAUCUAACCAUGUAUUUUGAUUUUGGACAUUGGACCAUAAUAGGUAAAUUAAAAAAAUUGAAGUUCUUAGACCACAUUCUUUCUGUGUCAGAAACCUAUGCUGUGUCAAAUAUUUAAUCACAAUCCAUAUUCAGAGCUGUAUCAAGCUUGAAUGUUGUGUCCAUACUUGCCCCAACUGUUCAGGGUUCGACCUCUGCGGUCGUAUCAAGCUGCGCCCAGCGAAGCAUUUUAUUUAUAAAUUUUAGAUGUUACGUUUCCAAGUUAUGGGGUUUUAUUCAUUAAAAAAAGGGGGAUUUUCCAGUUUUCGGACAAUAACUCAAGAAUGCUUUCACCAACUUGCAAGAAAUUUUGGUUAAUUGUUUAUAUCUAUUGACAUGAGCUCCCUUUUGAUUUUUAUAAAUUU